rnacentral:rRNA from 1 species
CACGUAGGGGGCGAGCGUUGUCCGGAAUCAUUGGGCGUAAAGAGCUCGUAGGCGGCUCUGUAAGUCGGGUGUGAAACCCUCAGGCUCAACCUGGGGACGCCACUCGAUACUGCUGUGGCUAGAGUCCAGUAGAGGAGUGUGGAAUUCCCGGUGUAGCGGUGAAAUGCGCAGAUAUCGGGAGGAACACCAACGGCGAAGGCAGCACUCUGGGCUGGAACUGACGCUGAGGAGCGAAAGCGUGGGGAGCGAACCGG